AGGAGGCACAAAACCAUUAUCCUUUUGGCUGCAAUGGAAUGAGAGUCCUGUUGAGAAAAUGGAAGUGGUACCCAGGUGAGCAGGGUGAAGGAGGUCACACCUCACUUACUUGAGUACUUGGAAGGCCCAGGGAGUGAAAAGAGAUUAGAACAAGAUAGACUGAACACAUAUGCCUACCUCUCCAAAUCCUUUCAAUUAACAGAAUACAUAUUUUA
rnacentral:lncRNA from 10 species